rnacentral:piRNA from 1 species
UGCUUUCUAGCUCUUCAGAACCCAAUGCC